AACUUGUACAUGGUCACACUUAAGCGAGCAAAGAACACGCAUCCACGACAGUUUAUGAUUGUCUUCAGGUAAGUAUUGCAGGUGUCCUUAUAAUCAUCCAGUGUGGAAGUCGUCAGUGUUGUUGUCACCGUUGAUUGGCAGGAGUUGUUACGAGUUGGAAUCGUGUUAAACUGUAGUUGUGAGGUGAGUACAUCAUACAGACACACACACAAACAUUUAUACUUAUGUAUUUACACAGAAGUGAGUGUCUGGAUCACUUUUUUAAUCGUUCAUCUAAAUGGAUUGCUGCAAUGUGUUUCUCGACGACAGCGAUUCAGUGUGACCCUCC